rfam:Schistosoma rodhaini strain Burundi genome assembly, scaffold: SROB_scaffold0000146
ACCCAGCUGACGAGUCCCAAAUAGAACGAGACACGUUUCCUGGAU